AGAAAACCCAAAACCUCUUACUAAAACUCAACUUCUGUCCUUUCUGGGCAUGACAGGUUUCUGUAGACAAUGGGUUCCUGAAUAUGCUCAUUUGGUACAGCCCUUACAGGACAUGGCCUAUGGCCAGAAGCUUGCAUCACAUGAUAGAGUAAGGUCUUCCCUAUUGUCUGAAGGCUGUGGCAGCGGCAGCAGAUGCGGUUUUGCGAUCACAGCCUCUGGUGUGUUAUCAGCCACUUGAGCUACAAGUUCCUCACUCUGUUGCCUCCAUCUACCAACUCCCAUUGAAGGCCCGCUGCACGACAUCAAGCCGACAUCAAGCACGACAUCAAGGACUGCAAGAGAAAGCACUGGAGCAAGCCACGCUGGUUGGGUCCAUACCAAGUUCAACUGGUCACUCUGCUGUCAAAGUUGCUGAACGAGGAACCUGGGUCCACGCCACACACUGUAAGAAGGCUCCAGCGUUAGAAGAUAUGGCGAAAGAAUAGGUAAAUGGAAAUUACCUAAGGGCGGCGUGGCUUGUGGUGCUAGUAACCAUCAACUCCAACACAGCCUGCAACCCUGGAGCCAGAGAGACAAGGACCAUGGAACCCCUUCAGGAGGUCUGGAGGAAUGAGAUGCACCAUCGGGUACCUGCUGAUUUUAAGUAUUGUCGUUGUCAUACCAAUGGUGUAGUUUUUCAAACCACACUAUGAUGAUCAUGGACAGAUUGUAAAUAUGACAUCUAAUGAAGCAAGGAAAGAGACAAUUGUACACCAUGAGAAAAGGUCCGAACGACAGAUAGGGCCUGAUUUUGAACAGACUCGGUUAAUCUCUUGUGAAAUGAUGAACUGCCCCCCGGAUGGGGAUUGCUAUGUACUGACAAGCCCAGUGUUGAAGGAUAAUAAGUGGUAUUGGACUCUAUUUCCCUCCUCGUACUUUUCUCCCAACCAUGGGAUCAGGUGGAGAUGUUAUGAUAAUGAUUAUUGCACUGUUACCAUUUCCAAACCUCUAGGAGUAAUCCAGGAUUACUGGUGCUUCAGUACUGACGAAGACAACACACCUUGCAGAUCACCUGACUUCCCUAAAGUAGCAGACUGGCAGGCAUAUGGUUGGACCAAGGUGGCAGCACAAAUGACACUGCCAGGUUAACCUACACAGAGCGAGUAGGAGAACGUGGCUUCAUUGUAAGGAUACAGAGGAUCCUGGUGCAGACAGACUGUCGCACUGAGGAGGAUGAAGUCAGAUCAGGUGCUUCAGGAGCCACACAGAGUUUAGGACAAAGUGAUUGCUCCACCACAACUCAAACCGAUUUCGAGGCUCUAGGGGCUUUGCCGUUGCAGGUCUAUAUAGUCUGUGGUGGGGAAGCAUACAGUUGCAUUCCUAGAGAUGCAGGUGGAGUAUGCUACAUGGCGUACUUGGUCCUUUGAUUAGGCGAGCCGAACACAGGGAAAUGGCAGCCUUAUAUCAGUCCCAAUUUCGCCACAAGCGAACACUUACUAGAACUCAACGUAUAUUUAGUGUUCUGAUCCCAGGAUAUGGCACAUACACCUCACAGGAAGAGAUAAUGGCACUGUCCGCAGUGUUGGAAAAACACAUGAAUUUGACAACUGACACAAUUGCAGCAAUAGGUACGGAGCUGAGUGAAACCCUUUCAGUUGCUCUGCAGAAUAGGAUGGCCCUAGACAUGAUUUUGGCUUCCCAGGGCGGUGUCUGUAAGGUGGUGGGAUCCGAGUGUUAUACAUACAUUUCAGAUGCAUCACAAAAGGUAAUUAAUUUAGUCCAAGAAACUAAUAAAGGAAUAGAGGAACUUAAUACAGUUCAUGGGUGGGACCCAUUCUCAGGGUUAUCCUCUAUGGUUGGUCCCUGGGGGAUGACAAUAUACAAGAUAUUGACUACUGCCUUAGCCGCUAUUGCCUUUUUGUUUGUUUGUGGUAUAUUUUUGUCUUGUUUAAUAAAAAUGUGUGUUUCUAAGUUUGCAACACAGGUAAUGGUCCAGAAGUAUGCAAAUGAGGAUUCCGAUGUUUCAGAGAUGUUCCAGUUCCCAAAUUACUGGGAUGAUGAUAUCAAAAAAAGUUCAUGUUGUUCAAGAGCAUUGUUUGUAGUAGUCUGAAGCUUAAUGAAUUGAUGUUAAAUGAUCUGAUUGGUUAAACGUUGCAUGUUAGUAUUACAUGACAUUUCAUGAUAUAGGGCGGAUUGUCAGGGAAAUGUAUUUUAUUGAUGUAUUCCUACUGAUUAAAGGACUGAGUCCCCAUGUUUUGAUAAGUAAAGGACUGUAGUUAGAGGGGGAUCUGGUGUUGCCUAGGAGGCAUCCUUGACCAGCAUCCUUGACCGGCACCAGCGGAUUAGAUGGUUACUCGUAAAUCAGUAGAUCUGUAUGACCCUUUUAGGGUCUAUCUGUUGGGUGUCCAGACACUGGGACUCCUAAAAGGUUGAAAAGGUUAACCAUGUGAAUGUGUUUUAUUGACACACAUCUUACCACACCCCUUUUUCCUCCUUUAAAUAAGGAUGAUUGUCCUGUGUUACUUUAGAGAUUAUUCAUUGUUACUUUGUAACCUGUGUAUUCUCUCCUUGCAAGAAUAAACUGUUUAUUGUGC
ensembl:lncRNA